rnacentral:rRNA from 1 species
UACGUAGGGUGCAAGCGUUAAUCGGAAUACUGGGCGUAAAGCGUGCGCAGGCGGUGAUGUAAGACAGGUGUGAAAUCCCCGGGCUUAACCUGGGAACUGCAUUUGUGACUGCAUCGCUGGAGUGCGGCAGAGGGGGAUGGAAUUCCGCGUGUAGCAGUGAAAUGCGUAGAUAUGCGGAGGAACACCGAUGGCGAAGGCAAUCCCCUGGGCCUGCACUGACGCUCAUGCACGAAGCGUGGGAGCAA